GACGAACGCUGGCGGCGUGCUUAACACAUGCAAGUCGAACGGAAAGGCCCUGCUUUUGUGGGGUGCUCGAGUGGCGAACGGGUGAGUAACACGUGAGUAACCUGCCCUUGACUUUGGGAUAACUUCAGGAAACUGGGGCUAAUACCGGAUAGGAGCUCCUGCUGCAUGGUGGGGGUUGGAAAGUUUCGGCGGUUGGGGAUGGACUCGCGGCUUAUCAGCUUGUUGGUGGGGUAGUGGCUUACCAAGGCUUUGACGGGUAGCCGGCCUGAGAGGGUGACCGGCCACAUUACGACUGAGAUACGGCCCAGACUCCUACGGGAGGCAGCAGUGGGGAAUAUUGCACAAUGGGCGGAAGCCUGAUGCAGCAACGCCGCGUGCGGGAUGACGGCCUGCGGGUUGUAAACCGCUUUCGCCUGUGACGAAGCGUGAGUGACGGUAAUGGGUAAAGAAGCACCGGCUAACUACGUG
rnacentral:rRNA from 1 species